rnacentral:rRNA from 1 species
UACGGGAGGCAACAGUGGGGAAUAUUGCACAAUGGGCGCAAGCCUGAUGCAGCCAUGCCGCGUGUAUGAAGAAGGCCUUCGGGUUGUAAAGUACUUUCAGUCGUGAGGAAGGUGUUAAGGUUAAUAACCUUAGCAAUUGACGUUAGCGACAGAAGAAGCACCGGCUAACUCCGUGCCAGCAGCCGCGGUAAUACGGAGGGUGCGAGCGUUAAUCGGAAUUACUGGGCGUAAAGGGCACGCAGGCGGUUAAUUAAGUUGGAUGUGAAAUCCCCGGGCUUAACCUGGGAAUGGCAUUCAAGACUGGUUAGCUAGAGUCUUGUAGAGGGGGUAGAAUUCCAUGUGUAGCGGUGAAAUGCGUAGAGAUGUGGAGGAAUACCGGUGGCGAAAGGCGGCCCCUGGACAAAGACUGACGCUCAUGUGCGAAAAGCGUGGGGAGCGAAAACAGGGAUUAGAUACC